rnacentral:rRNA from 1 species
CCCUUAGAUGUUCUGGGCAGCACGCGCGCUACAAUGGUCUUCGCAAACGGAUGCAUUCUCGAAGGAGAAUGCCAAUCUUGGAAUCUAUGCCUUGGUCGGGACAGUUGCUUGCAAUUUUUCGACUCGAACCAGGAAUUCCUUAUAAUCGUGAUUCAUCACAUCACGAUGAAUACGUCCCUGCCCUUUGUACACACCGCCCGUCGCUCCUACCGAUCGAAGAGUUAGGUGAAUUGUUUUGAUCGAUAAGAUUUGACUAUGGUCAACUCUCGUUGUGAAAUUCUCUGAAUCUGACUGUUUAGAGGAAGGAAAAGUCGUAACA